UAAAAGAUAACACGUUCGCUGGAAAAGGAACUGCGUUGGUGACAUUAAUGGAGUUUGAAGAUGUGACUAUAGCAUUUAGAAUGAUGAUUGACCAGCCAACAUCACCAUAUGGAUUUGAUGUUUAAUGUCAUUGAAAACGAUACGUGGUUUUGUUGGAAGAUAAAAAAAAAAAAAAGAAACAGAUUAGGUUAACAAGGCAAGAAAAUAUGUGUUUUUGCAGAAUUUAUUAAGAUGUGAGAAACAAUACCACAGUCUUUGUAAAUGUUGGAAAUCAGCUCUCCGAUUGUGAAUUGCGGCCUACUGAGUAUGCUGAUUGGGUAUUAUGUCCUUACCUAAAUAAAAUACCUUGAAACUGAAAUACGAG
rnacentral:lncRNA from 1 species